rnacentral:rRNA from 1 species
CCCUUUCGGGGGUACACGAGCGGCGAACGGGUGAGUAACACGUGGGUGACCUGCCUUUAGCUCUGGGAUAAGCCUGGGAAACUGGGUCUAAUACCGGAUAUGACUCCAUAGUGCAUGCUUGUGGGGUGGAAAGCCUUGUGCGGCUAGGGAUGGGCCCGCGGCCUAUCAGCUUGUUGGUGGGGUGAUGGCCUACCAAGGCGACGACGGGUAGCCGGCCUGAGAGGGCGACCGGCCACACUGGGACUGAGACACGGCCCAGACUCCUACGGGAGGCAGCAGUGGGGAAUCUUGCGCAAUGGGCGAAAGCCUGACGCAGCGACGCCGCGUGAGGGAUGACGGCCUUCGGGUUGUAAACCUCUUUCAGCCCUGACGAAGCGAGAGUGACGGUAGGGGCAGAAGAAGCACCGGCCAACUACGUGCCAGCAACCGCGGUAAUACGUAGGGUGCAAGCGUUGUCCGGAAUUAUUGGGCGUAAAGAGCUCGUAGGCGGUCUGUCGCAUCGGCUGUGAAAACUCGGGGCUCAACCCCGAGCUUGCAGUCGAUACGGGCAGGCUGGAGUUCGGCAGGGGAGACUGGAAUUCCUGGUGUAGCGGUGAAAUGCGCAGAUAUCACGAGGAACACCGGUGGCGAAAGCGGGUCUCUGGGCCGAUACUGACGCUGAGGAGCGAAAGCGUGCGGAGCGAACAGGAUUAUAUACCCUGGUAGUCCACGCCGUAAACGUUGGGCGCUAGGUGUGGGAUCCCUUCCACGGGUUCCGUGCCGCAGCUAACGCAUUAAGCGCCCCGCCUGGGGAGUAC